AUUGAACGCUGGCGGCAGGCCUAACCCAUGCAAGUCGAGCGAGCGGCGGACGGGUGAGUAAUGUAUGGGGACUGCCCGAUAGAGGGGGAUAACUACUGGAAACGGUAGCUAAUACCGCAUACUAUCGGAUCACCCAUAUGGGCUUAGCUAGUAGGUGAGGUAAUGGCGCACCUAGGCGACGAUCCCUAGCUGGUCUGAGAGGAUGAUCAGCCACACUGGGACUUGGACACGGCCCAGACGCCUACGGAGGCAGCAGUGGGGAAGAAUGCACAAUGGGGUCAAGCCUGAGACAGCCAUGCCGCGUGUAUGAAGAAGGCCCUAGGGUUGUAAAGUACUUUCAGUCGGGAGGCGUUACCGACAGAAGAAGCAGCGGCUAACUCAGUGCCAGCAGCCGCGGUAAUUC
rnacentral:rRNA from 1 species